rnacentral:rRNA from 1 species
ACGUAGGAGGCAAGCGUUAUCCGGAUUUACUGGGCGUAAAGCGCAUGCAGGCGGUUUGGAAAGUUGGAUGUGAAAGCUCCUGGCUCAACUAGGAGAGGUCGUUCAAAACUUCCAGACUUGAGGGCAGUAGAGGGAGGUGGAAUUCCGUGUGUAGUGGUGAAAUGCGUAGAUAUACGGAGGAACACCAGUGGCGAAAGCGACCUCCUGGGCUGCAUCUGACGCUCAUAUGCGAAAGCUAGGGGAGCAAACGGGAUUAGAGACCCCGGUAGUCCUAGCUGUAAACGAUGUGAACUUGGCGUUGGUGGGUUUAAAUCCAUCAGUGCCGUAGCAAACGCGAUAAGUUCACCGCCUGGGGACUACGGCCGCAAGGUUA